rnacentral:rRNA from 1 species
UACGUAGGGUGCGAGCGUUAAUCGGAAUUACUGGGCGUAAAGCGUGCGCAGGCGGUUUUGUAAGCCAGAUGUGAAAUCCCCGGGCUCAACCUGGGAAUGGCAUUUGGGACUGCAAGGCUGGAGUUUGGCAGAGGAGACUGGAAUUCCUGGUGUAGCAGUGAAAUGCGUAGAUAUCAGGAGGAAUACCGAUGGCGAAGGCAGGUCUCUGGCUAUAAC